CCUACGGGAGGCAGCAGUGAGGAAUAUUGGUCAAUGGGCGCGAGCCUGAACCAGCCAAGUCGCGUGAGGGAAGACGGUCCUAUGGAUUGUAAACCUCUUUUGUCGGGGAGCAAAAGACGCCACGCGUGGCGUUCCGAGAGUACCCGAAGAAAAAGCAUCAGCUAACUCCGUGCCAGCAGCCGCGGUAAUACGGAGGAUGCGAGCGUUAUCCGGAUUUAUUGGGUUUAAAGGGUGCGCAGGCGGAAGAUCAAGUCAGCGGUAAAAGUGAGAGGCUCAACCCCUUCGAGCCGUUGAAACUGGUUUUCUUGAGUGGGCGAGAAGUAUGCGGAAUGCGUGGGGUAGCGGUGAAAUGCAUAGAUAUCACGCAGAACUCCGAUUGCGAAGGCAGCAUACCGGCGCUCAACUGACGCUCAUGCACGAAAGUGUGGGUAUCGAACAGGAUUAGAUACCCCUGUAGUC
rnacentral:rRNA from 1 species